AUACGGAGGGGGUUAGCGUUGUUCGGAAUUACUGGGCGUAAAGUGUACGUAGGCGGACUGGAAAGUUGGGGGUGAAAUCCCGGGGCUCAACCCCGGAACUGCCUCCAAAACUUCCAAUCUAGAGAUCGAGAGAGGUGAGUGGAAUUCCAAGUGUAGAGGUGAAAUUCGUAGAUAUUUGGAGGAACACCAGUGGCGAAGGCGGCUCACUGGCUCGAUACUGACGCUGAGGUACGAAAGCGUGGGGAGCAAACAGGAUUAGAAACCCCAGUAGUCC
rnacentral:rRNA from 1 species